rnacentral:misc_RNA from 1 species
CGUCACACACGUAGAUUACAAGCGAAACAAUAACAAACGAGCAGCAUGCGUUAACGUGUAUGCCGCCAAUGUUCAGAGCUCAUCGCCCCGCCGGCCCUAGCUGCGGUCGCUUGAGCGGCCCGUCUUCGUCCGAAAGCUCGCGCAGAGCCGUUAAACCGGAGGGGCAACCCAAGCGAGGCCGCAGUCCGUGUGAAGAUGAAGUGGCCUUCAAGAAGUUGCAAGCUCACAAGCUGGACGCGCAAAGUCGACUCCGGCAGCAAAUCGAGGUAUUGUCUGGACUCGAGAGUAAUGUGUUGGAUUUCUACUACACCCACAUGCUGCGGUUUGAGCCGCUGCUUGAACUCGCAUCUCAGGUAUCUCCAUCCGCGGCGAUGGCGCCAGCCGCGGCCAGGGAUGCCGUAUUAGGAGGAGAGUUCGCAGAGCUUUUUCCUGAAUUGAAAAGCACCACCACUCUCACCGACACGUGUGAUGAAAGCGCCACAUUAUCGACACACGAGCCCGCGCCGAGUCCACCGGCUACGGUGCCGGCCAAAACGCGCUACUAUUACGACAGCGCACUCAUGCGACUGUACCGCGAGGCCGCCUUUCAAGAAAAGAACCUGGCGCAUCGGUACGCCUGUGAAAAGGCUCGGGUAGCAGCGACUGAGCUGUCUGUGCAGCACGACAUUAUUGACGGCUCUCUCGCCGAACAGCUCCGCACAGAACAUGAGGAGCAGGAAGCACUCAACAAACUGAUCGGCUCCCUUGCAGAGGUGACGGCGCAAAGCGCGGCACACCAGCAGUCAUUGCAGGCGACAGAUGAGCGCAUCAGGGAGAUCGAGAAGGCCAGAGAGGCCUGUCUCGCUCGCAAGACAGUACUUGAGGCAAAGAAGCAGGAGCAGAUGGAUAGCGCGGAGCACAUCAAAGAGGAGGUGGUUGCGUUUCGCCGUUGCGUCGAGGCCGCCGCCCGCGAGCUGGAGAGGCGGAGGCUGAUCAACCGCAGUCUAGAGGACGAGAUUGGGAGGAGACGAGCCGCGCUGAAGCGACGCAAGAAGGAGUGACUCCGUGAGCUUGGCUAAUAUGUCUCUCUUUCACUACUGCGCCGCUCUUAUUCGGCGAGUUUUUGGUGUCCUUUUCUUUUCUCGUGUGUGAGGAGGAAUUAUACUUCUACGAUGGCCUGCGGGGCGUCGCAGCGCUUCGCUUUCCUGAAGCCAACUGCCUGCACGCAUACACGCGUUCACAUGGGGACGUGUUGCAGCGAUAUUUUUGUUCGGCCUGUUUGUCCUUCGCGCGUGUGCAUUCGCCAGUGUCCACAGCUGCCACAACGAGGUCGCACUUUUCUUUUGGGAGGAUACCAUGUCACCUUCCCGACGAUGCCUCCGAAGCAUGUGAGGUGCGUGUGUGGGGGGGGGGGGGUAUGUGUGUGGGUGAGUGGGUAUGGGUGUUGAGCCCUCUUUUCGUUUGUGUUCUUUCUGUUAGAUGCCUUCAUGCUUUACUACACACAAUAUGCGCUAUACAUGCAUAUAGGCGCAGCAUCGUACAGCCAAGUAACAUCAGCUACGAAAGCGGCCAAAGGUAGUCUGCGCGCUGCGUCACUUGUGCGCUUGAAGGCAUUUAGCGUGUGCACGCCGACUUUCUAGUCGGCUUGCAUCUUCAUCGCGUGAGGGUGCCGAAGAUGUUCCUGUGUGCCACUCCAUCCUGCGAGUGGUUCAAGAUGCCGCGCCUGUGCUCACGGUGCCUUUGCUUCGCAGCCGCGCGCAUACUUCGAGAGCCGCAGCGCUCAUCGCCUCUCUUGCACCUUGUAUCGGCAUACUUGUCAAGUCCCUCCUCUUUCUCUUCCCGCCACUCAACGUACACGGCUGCGCUGCACCAUCACCACCGUGUGGCUAUUGUUGCCCUCACAUGCGUACGUCUGCAUGUGCGGGUGGUGGCUUUUGACGCCUCUCGAUGCAG